rnacentral:rRNA from 1 species
GUGCCUAACACAUGCAAGUCGAACGCGAAAGUGGAGCAAUCCAUGAGUAGAGUGGCAAACGGGUGAGUAACACGUGGGUGACCUGCCUUCGAGCGGGGGAUAACGUCCCGAAAGGGACGCUAAUACCGCAUGACAUCCUGCUUUUCAAGAAGCGGCGAUCAAAGCCGGGGAUCGCAAGACCUGGCACUCGAAGAGGGGCCCGCGUCCGAUUAGCUAGUUGGUGAGGUAACGGCUCACCAAGGC